AAAGGGGUUUACUCGAUUCGUCCUCUCACUGAAAACAAGAUUAGUUUUUUUUUUUUUUUUUUUAUAUUUGUUUAGUAAUUUUUUUUUUUUUUAGUAGGAGUAGGCUCUUGCUAGGGCACAGUGGCGGAGCCACAUAUAGUUGAGGGGUGUCGACACCCUUCGUCGAAAAAUUACACUGUGUAGCUAGGUAAUUUUUUUAUUUUUAUGUAUAUAUACUACAUAUUGACACUCCUUGACUUUUUCAUGAAUUUACUUCUUUAUAUUUUGACACCCCUUAGUAAAAAUUCUGAUUCCGUCAUUACUACGAAUCUGAAGAUGAAGAAUGGAUGGGGAUCGAGAAAGUUAAGGAUGGGUUCCUUUCAUUUUUUAUUCGAAACUAACAUGUUUAUUUCCGCUGUUAUUUAAGAUCUACGGUUAGUGAGUUCAGAAUGCAUGUGAUCCUAUAUAUUUUAAUUGCAUAUUGUUUACAUACACUACAUAAUACAGUAUGUUGUUUUAACUUUUGAUAAUAAUGUGUACUAUUGAACUGAGCAGGUAAAAAAAAAAGGGCAAAAAGAUGGAGACACUGAAUUUAGGUUCUGAAUGGUAGCAAAAAGUUGUACCUUUAGAUGAAGUGAAAGGCCAAGUAACGCGUGUCAUCAUUUCCUCUUGAGUUCUCUCUAUAUUAGCAGCUUGACAUGAUACUCACCAGAAAAAAAGAAUCACUUUGACUCACAAAAUGUUGACUCAAUCAUUACAAAGUUUAUGUUUUUAAAGAUUUGUAGGUGUUUUUUUUUUCUUUCUGAAAAGAUCAUGAAAAAUAUUUAGUUUGAGGUUUUGAGAUUUUUUUUUUUUUUUGGGUGAAAACCUAGAUGGAAUAAAAUGAGUGAAUGUUUUAAUGAUAACCCCAAUUAUUAAUUAAAUAUUUUGUUUAAUAAGCGUGACUUUUGAUGUACUUAUGUCUGAUGGAGAGGACAAACAUGGAUUUGGAAGGUAACCUUGUUUUACUGUUCUCAUUUAACCGAAAACAUGCAUAUAUUAUUUUUUAUUAUAUUUUUUUGAGAACAUACUUGGUAUUUUUUUCGACUAGACUAGAACUGUCUAGUUUCUUCUUCAUUUUUUUAAGGUUUUUUUUUUCCUUUAAAUUUUGCUUCAUUUUCUAGAUGAAUAUGAACUAGUUGGGUAACCUCUUUUGGAUAUUUAAACCAAAAAAACUGUCUUUUUUCUGUAUGUGAUGUGAAUAUUUGGAUACUUUCUUGAAAUGCUAGGGAUUUUUUUAUAAAAAAAAUUCUUUUAUGUGGGUUCAUGUAAUAUUUUAUGCAGGUUUUUUUGGGCUAAUUUAUUUCUCUUCAAUAUGUAAUAAAUGGUAUGUUUUUUGGUUCUUUUGCAGAGGGCAAGAAAGAAAGAUAGUGAAGAAUAGAAAUCUCAGCUAUCAGUGGAAGUUGAAGAUUUUCCAUUUUACAGCAGCAGAUCAGAGAAAAUAAAGUUUGUAGUUUGAGAGGGCAAGAAAGAAAAUCAGUGAAGAAUGAAAUCUUUGCUAUCAGUGGAAGUUGAAAAAUAUUCUAUUUACAGUUGAUAGUGGUAAAUGGAGAAGGGCUAGAGGAAGAACACAAGUCGAGGGCAGCAUAUCAUCUUCUUUCUUGGCUUGCUCAAAUGAUUCUGGCAUUCUACGCCCAAUUAUCUGAUCAUACCCCGACCCCAACUCUUUAUAUGUAUUAACUACUCAUAUAUGAACUAAGUCCAUAUUAUACUAUGUGAUUCAACAAUUCAGCUACAUCCUGAUUCAUGAACCAAGCACUAAAAAAACAUAUGAACCAACCAACAAAUUAAUUCAACAUAGGAUAUAGGUUUUAUCCUAAAGCAACAAUAGAGUUAUUGCCAACAUGAAUAUAGUAGAUUUCUUUUGUGAUAUGUUGCAUGAUGAAUGAGGUAUAUGUUGCAUGAUGAAUGAGGUAUAUGUCCCAUAAUCAACCGGCUUCACAAGUACAAAGAGUCAAGGUAGGUUUCUUCUUUGAACACCAAGUAGAGGUCGUGUUUUCCAUGAAAAUACAAAGCUAGUAGCAAUCUUGCGGUCAUCCCAUCCACCUGUUUGCCUGCAUCUUUUAAAUUAAUAUUGAAUUGUUAGGCUAUAAUUACCUUUGACUAAGAUUACUUUUUUCCAUCUUCAUGUAUGAUGAACUUGGUGGCCCAACAAAAGCUAUUUAAUGUGUUUUACUCUUAAGCAAAAGUGAUAUCCAGCAUUAGACAUGAUUGACCAGCAUUCAUCAUAAAGGUCGUAUAAAAUGCCUUGGAAAAACAAACUACUGCAAUAUAAUUAUUAAGUCCAACUUCACGAAGAAUAUGAGCCCUCAUGCAUGUUAAAAUCCUCAAGCUUCCGAAAAUACUUCUUUAGACAACUAAGGUCACCCCCUUACCUUCUUCAAACUUGGAUAAUUUUGCUUCAUAAUUUAUGGAGUCAUUUGCUGACUCGCUAUUCUGUAUAUCAAAAUCUUCUAUAUUCCUUGCAUAAGCUUUUUAAGAUGAAUGGCGUCAACAUAUUCUUCGAUGCUAAGAUAUUAUACGAUAUGAGAUCAGUGCUAGUCAUCUGAAAUCUCAUGUCAUUACCUAUUUGACUUCUCUAUACAUUCUUUUGAUGAUAGUGGUGUGUGGCCAGGUUGCAUGCACCUUGACUGUUCCACCUGAUACCUGUUACCUCUCACUAGUGCAACAUAGGUAUCAGGUAACUCUACCCACUGAGGUUUAGGCAAAUUGGAAGAAAUCACCUAGUGUCUUUUGCCUUCACUAGGAUUUGAACUUGAAACGUCCUGGUUUUUCUCCCACAUCAUUGGCCACUGGCCGUACCCUUGGGUACAAUGUAUCAAACAUUUUAAAACUAUUGUGUGUAAAGACUCGCCUUGGGAGUGAUUCAACCAUUAAGCUACUUUGUGGGGUAGGGGACAAGCUAUUUUGUGGAGUAGGGGACUUGGCUGUUGACUACUGUGGUUGUUGUCUUCAGGUUAUGUGACACCCUACAAGUUGACUAGUAAUGUGUUAGGAGAUUUUCCUUUGGAUCGUUAUAAUGCUUGUUGAACGGUUCAAGUAGAAGUGAAUAGGUCAUAAGAAAUAGAAACCCCUUAUCAGUCCAUCUCCAUAGGAGACUAUAUUUGCAAAAGACAGGAUUCCCUAAAUCCUUCAGAAAAGAAUUCACUCCCUCUAUUUCCAUCGUCUUUAUAAGAAAAUGCUCAUGUGUGCUUUUGGUAAAAGUUGAACUCUAUGGUCUUGGUGAUGCUUCAAGCCCUAUAAGGCUUCUUUCAAUUUCAAAACUUAAUUUUCGUGCCCUUUGGUCGCGUAGCAAACAGGAUAUUGAGUAUAAACAUCUUCCUCAAGUUAGCGACUAGAAAAAUAUGACUUAACAUCCAUUUGAUGAACCAUCCAUCGGUUUGUGCAAAACUUCAUCAUAUUCAAUGCCUUGUAUUUUUUGCUAUACCCUUUUGCGACUAGCUUAGCCGCAAACCUUAGUUAUCUUGUUUGUGCGUCUCUCUUCAACUUUGAACACCCACUUGACGCUAAUUGCCUUUGGCUUGUCAGAAGUUAUGUGAGCUCUCGUGUCGCCAUUCUUUUGAAAUGCUUAAAUCUUCUCAUAUGUAGCUAGACUUAGUCUCUUUUCUCGCAUUGCUUCUUCAAAAUUAAGAGUCUCAAAAUCAUCGAAGAGAUAAAAAGAUUUGCAUAUUCUCUCACUUCCCUUUCCACAUAAUGAUCUUUAUAAGUUCUUUUUGUGUGCGGGUUGUUUUUCAAAAGAUAUCAUUAGAGGACUGCUGUCCUUGAGACAAUAGAGUAGUAGCGCUACGUACAAUCUUGCUUCUUCACCAGCUCUAAUAGGAAAAAAUUUGUAUUCAUCAUUUUAAGAGCCCUUGCAAUUACACAAGUCUUUUUGUCAAGUUUCACAUAUCUAUCAUAUAAUAACAUUUCCAUAGAUGGGAUGUGAAGCUUUUAGCUGUUAACACAAAGCAUAGCUGAUGAAGACAAACUUCUCACUCUUUGCUUCAAGUUUAUUUUGUUUCUGAAGGUGAGCAAGACUUAUAAAAUUCAUGUGCGAAAUAUUAGGCUUCUCAAUAAGCGUUACUUUUGUAGAGCUAAGAUGGAAAACGUGCAUGCACAUCGGUCAGAUUCAGCCUAAAACAUGUUGCUCGGACUCUUUGAAAAUGUCGCUAGGUCAGUGUUGGAUCAGCCAAAGGUAGUGCAUUUUUGGAGGAUCCGACACGGGUGCGGCAACUUUUUUGGAGAGUCCGAGCUACAUAGAUCUUAGAUGACCUAUGAUUUAUUUUACAUAUAAAUGUGCUAGGAUCAAGACAGAGUACAUGGAGUGCAAGUUCAGUGACGUGACACAUGAGCCUGGCAUGGAAGUGAGGCUUGGUACCCAAGCCAUCCCAAAGAAAGGAAGUUUCAAAUAUCUUGGAUCUAUUAUACAAGAAAAUGGGGAUAUGGACGAUGAUGUCUCACAUCGUAUUGGUGCAGGGUAGAUGAAAUGGAGGCUUGCUUCAGGACUGCUGUGUGAUAAGAAGGUGUCACCAAAACUUAAAGGCAGGCUCUAUAUAGUGGUUGUGAGACCGACUUUGUUGUACGGGGCAGAAUGCUGGGCAGUCAGGAGCUCACGUCUAAAAGAUGAAAGUUGCGGAAAUGAAAAUGUUGCGAUGGAUGUGUGGGCACAGCAGGCGAGAAAGGAUUAGGAAUGAAGAUAUCCGGGAUAACGUUGGAGUAGCAUCAGUGGAGGACAAGAUGAGGGACGCGAGGCUGAGAUGGUUUGGGCAUGUGAGGAGGAGAGACACAAAUGCCCCAGUGCGGAGGUGUGAGAGGUUAGCCAUGGAUGGUUUCAGAAGAGGUAGGGGUAGGCCGAAAAAAUAUUGGGGAGAGGUGCUGAGACAGGACAUGGUGCAGUUUCAGCUUACCGAGGACAUGACCUUAGAUAGGAGGUUAUGGAGGACUCAGAUUAGGGUAGAAGGCUAGUAGGUAGUCGCUGUUUCGAUCUAUAGUCUAUAGUCCUUUGAUUCUUGUUACUAUAUGUUGUUUCUUGUACAUCGAUUAUCCUAUUUAUAUGUGGUAGCUACUGCUUCCUUUCUUCAGACUGCUCUAUCUUGACUUAUUCGCUUUCUUUAGUUUCAUUUGCAUUUUGCUUUGAACUGCUUGUGCUUGUCUAACCUUUCUCGUUGUGUUUUCUCUUGAGCCGAGGGUCUUUCGGAAACAGCCUCCCUAUCUUCCGAGAUAGGAGUAAGGUCUGCAUACACUUUAUCCUCCCCAGACCCCACAUUGUGGGAUUUCACUGGAGUUGUUUGGUGGCUACAUUCUGAAAAGAACUGAAUAGUUUACUAGUCUUGUCCAUUAGCAACAACCUCCCCCUCUGCACAAAAAAGAAGACGACAAAAAAGAAAGAGAAAAUUGAAGCGAUUCAUCCACACGAUGCUGGACUGAGGUGAUUGGGGGUUUGACAUUAGCACUUCUAGAAAUUGGCAAGAAGAGCUCAGGUCGAGGGUUGCAAGUCAGCCCACAUUUCUUCCGUAUGAUUUUAGGAAUAGGUCUUAUACAUUGACCGGGUUUGAAUAUAAGCAAUGGUAAGCAGGGGCAGCUAGCAUAGAAGUACAGGGUCGGCAAGAAUCCAGUAACUUUGGUCCGACCCUGUAUACUAUUGAGAAAUCUACUAAAUAUGUACAUACAAUCAAAUCAUUCAGAGAUCUCAAAUCUUAAAUCCGCCUUUGGUCGUAAGUGGAGACUUUGAGCUUAGUGAUUGAUCCAAAAGGAACAUGUUAAGUUCUCACUGUGCAGAAGAUUGUUGUGUGUCAACUUUCUCCUCUUCUACAUUUGUAUAUGUUCAAGAGUUCUUGAUACUUUUGUGUUGUUAUUCAAGUGUACCUUGUCAUAUAAGUUCAUUUGAGGUGUUUUUCUUGUUUCCAGUUUCAUUUCAUGUUAAGCUUGAAAAAUUACCCCGUUAAAUGAAACUAUAUAUGGUAUUUCGUGUUAA